GGGUUUUUGUUUUAUACUUUAAACAUUGAUUUUAUUUUUUAUGUUUUUAGAUGUUCAUGUUUUUGAAUGUUUUAUUCAAAUAAUAUAAAAAAUAAAAUAUAUAUUGACAUGGAUUAAACAAAGAUAUAUAUUAUUCUAUGUUGUAUAAACAAAUUGGCAAAAUAGAGAUGGAAGAUAAAAAUAUGGU
rnacentral:misc_RNA from 1 species